rnacentral:rRNA from 1 species
CUCUUCCUGACACCAAUAGGAGGUAGGCCUGCUAAUUGCUAAUGAUAAAAGCGGAUUUUCCUUAAUGUAGCGUGAUAAAUUGGCCUUUAAUUGGGGUCCGGUAUGAAUGGGUUGACGAUAGAAGCUCUGUCUCGUUGGAAUGUAUUGAAAUUUACAUUUCGGUGAAAAGACCGAACCACUUGUAAAAGACGAGAAGACCCCGUCGAGCUUGAAUUCAAGGCUUUGUCUAUGGUCUCGAAAUUUUAAUUGGGGCAAUUGCGGAGAACAUAACCUCCGCUUAUUAUAUGAAGAUCCAUUUUAUGAAAAAAGAAAAAGCUACCGCGGGGAUAACAGCGCAAGAUUGCUUUAGAGGCCAUAUCGACGGCAAUAAUUGCGACCUCGAUGUUGGAUUAAGGUUACUUUCUGGCGCAGAAGCUUGAAUAAGUGGGCUGUUCGCCCU